rnacentral:piRNA from 1 species
AUCAUAGGCCAAAUCCUAUAUAUCUUA